CUCACCCAGCCGAGCAGCUCACGGGAGAAAGCUCUUUCCAGAGGAUCUCCAGCGAGUAAACGCAGAAGGAGUGAUGGGAUCCGAAGAUCACCGUUUUGCAAACCUUCAGGAAACGCCAGAGGGGGAGGUCUGGACACCGUGUGGAGACAGCUGUGGGAUGCAUCUGCACACUGAGGAGCCAUGAUGGCUGUGGGACGCCCAGAAGCUGGGGGAGGCCUGGAGCAGCCUCUCCCUUACAGCCUCAGGGGGAAUCAGCCUGCUGUGAGAUAAUAAAUGUCUGUUGUUUAAGCCCCCA